CCUACGGGAGGCAGCAGUGAGGAAUAUUGGUCAAUGGACGAGAGUCUGAACCAGCAAAGCAGCGUGAAUGAUGACGGUCCUCGGAUUGGUAAACUCUUUUUUUAUGGGAGUAAAAUGUUCCGCGUGUGUGAUCAUGUAUCUACGAUAUCUAUAAGGCACGGCUAACUACGUGCCAUCAGCGGCGGUAAUACGGAGGAUCGGAGCGUUAUACGGACUGAUUGGGUUUAAAGGGAGGGUAGGUGGUUUGGUAAGUCAGUUGUGAAAGUUUUCGGCUCAACCGCAGAAGUGCAGUUGAAACUGGGAGACUUGAGUGCAGGAGAGGUGAGCGGAAUUCGAGGUGUAGCGGUGAAAUGCGUAGAUAUCACGAAGAACACCAGUUGCGAAGGCGGCUCACUGGACUGCAACUGACACUGAGGCUCGAAAGUGUGGGUAGCAAACAGGAUUAGAUACCCUAGUAGUC
rnacentral:rRNA from 1 species